AAAGAAUUUGUUCUGAGAAUGUUCAUGUAAGGAUCACUGAACAAGAUUCCAAAUUCCGUAAGAAUAAAGUCUGUUGCUCUACCCUGACCAUAGCAAAUCCAUUGCCUCACAUGGCUUAAAGACCAUAGUGUAACAGAAGAAAAAACAAGCAAACAAACAAAACCCCCCAAAACC